UGAAAGUUCUUAAAAUGAAAGAGCUUUUGAUAAAAUUGUGAAGUGACAAUCACCAGAAAUCAUCAGGGAUUUAUAUUGAUUGUUUUAUAGCGCUGACGAUUACUUUUGACGAGUUUUACUUCGUUUUCAAAGAAUUUCGUUGAGGAACUACGUAGAUCAAUUGAUAAACGUGAGAAAGAAUCGUCAUGUCACACGAGUUGUCCUCUUUUAGUCGUUCUUUCAUAAUCUUGUAUUCAGGGAAAACACCACAUUUAAUGCACUCUUGAUUCGUCAGGACAGUGGUUAUACUGUGAAUCAUUCCAUAGGUGCUAGGAACACGAUGGGUAUGGACCUAUAGCAAUGAACAAGUCAGACUGGGGUAGAAUUGGUGGCAUUGGAUAGCAGCGCUUAAGACAUGCCUGGGGUGGUGAAGACUGGGACCUAGUGGACAAAAUCUUGUCAGAAGACCUAGAAAUCGAAUGCUUGGAGGUGCUUAACACAAAAAAGGGAAUAUGGAAAGAUUCGGAACAAUAGUUGCAAUGAAUAUUUAUUGUCUCAUGGAGAUUCAAAGUUCUUUGAAAGAGACCACAUAUAAUACAGGCUGAUAGUUGAAUAAAAACAUAAACAAUGCAUUGUAA